AUUGCCCUAGUAACGGCGAGUGAAGCGGCAACAGCUCAAAUUUGAAAUCUGGCCCUCUGGGCCCGAGUUGUAAUUUGUAGAGGGCGCUUUGGUGUUGGCCCCGGCCUAAGUUCCUUGGAACAGGACGUCACAGAGGGUGAGAACCCCGUACGUGGCCGGCGGCCUUCGCUGUGUAAAGCCCCUUCGACGAGUCGAGUUGUUUGGGAAUGCAGCUCUAAAUGGGAGGUAAAUUUCUUCUAAAGCUAAAUACUGGCCAGAGACCGAUAGCGCACAAGUAGAGUGAUCGAAAGAUGAAAAGCACUUUGGAAAGAGAGUCAAAAAGCACGUGAAAUUGUUGAAAGGGAAGCGCUUGCAGCCAGACUUGCCUGUAGUUGCUCACCUGGGCUCUUGCCCAGCGCACUCUUCUGCGGGCAGGCCAGCAUCAGUUCAAGCGGUCGGACAAAAGCCCUAGGAAUGUGGCUCCUUCCGGGGAGUGUUAUAGCCUAGGGCAUAAUGCGGCCAGCUUGGACUGAGGUCCGCGCAUUUGCUAGGAUGCUGGCGUAAUGGUUGUAAGCGGCCCGUCUUGAAACACGGACCAAGGAGUCUAACAUCUAUGCGAGUGUUUGGGUGUCAAGCCCGAGCGCGAAAUGAAAGUGAACGGAGGUGGGAACCCCCCGGGGCGCACCAUCGACCGAUCCUGAUGUCUUCGGAUGGAUUUGAGUAAGAGCAUAGCUGUUGGGACCCGAAAGAUGGUGAACUAUGCCUGAAUAGGGUGAAGCCAGAGGAAACUCUGGUGGAGGCUCGCAGCGGUUCUGACGUGCAAAUCGAUCGUCAAAUUUGGGCAUAGGGGCGAAAGACUAAUCGAA
rnacentral:rRNA from 1 species